GACAGAGGGUGCAAACGUUGCUCGGAAUUACUGGGCGUAAAGCGCGUGUAGGCGGGCUAGUAAGUCGGACGUGAAAUCCCUGAGCUCAACUCAGGAACUGCAUCCGAAACUAUUAGCCUUGAGUGGUGGAGAGGGAAGCAGAAUUCCUGGUGUAGAGGUGAAAUUCGUAGAUAUCAGGAGGAACACCGGUGGCGAAGGCGGCUUCCUGGACACUAACUGACGCUGAGGAGCGAAAGCGUGGGGAGCGAACAGG
rnacentral:rRNA from 1 species